AAUUUCUCCUUAAGCAUGACUUUUUCAGGCAGUUGCACUCUCCCCCUUACAGUGAUUUCUUCUGGUGAAGGACAUUCCUUUUUGCCAGACAUUUUAGCUCUGCCUUCCUCCAUCCAGUUCCUCAUGUCUCAUCGCAGAAAGUGGCCUUGGGGAUCUGACAUGUGCUGAUGUGGGGUAUCACCUGGGUUAAGCAGAGCCCAUCUAGACCAGUUCUCUUUGCCUGUCAGAGAGGAUAUUUCCAGAGGGCUGUGGCAAGAUUUUUGAUAACAGCCAAGACAAAACUGCUUUGCCUUUCCCCACUGGGCUAAAGAACUACACUGCAUUCAUGGGAUAUGCUUUAUUCUUAACAAUUCCAUGUUGCCAUCUUCUCAUAGGGAUGGAGCAAAUAUUUAAUUUCUUGACAAGUAUCAGAACUGCAGUGUUUGAUUUACAGUUGUGGAUCCUCCCCGCCCUUGUUUUUUAAAUGCAUAAUUUAUUUUAAUAUAAAUUACCAGACCUGUCAUGAAGGUUACACACACACACAGAGAUAGAAAAAUGCAAGGAAAGUUUUUGGGCACUGGGACUGAAUUCUCCCUAUCUUACAAUCUGAGAAGAGAUGUUGUUAUUUUAGCCAGAUAGGGUCUUCCCAAAGAAUUCCUGAACACCAUGCAAGAGCUGGUGCAGUCUGCAUGAGCCCAUCCUGUUUUGAAUGGCAGAAAUUUAAACAUAUAGCUAUAGCCAGCUAUGCCAGUCAGCCCAGAACAAGAUAAUGCCCCCACUGUUGCUUAUUUUGUGGAUUUUUCCAAUUUUGUUUAUUUUUGAAAUUUUUUCUCUCUGAUCAAUGUAGAAAAAACCCCAAUUUUCAGAAUAUUUUCAGAUCUCUGAAAUAAUUAACCAAGUAGGUAAAUUAGGGAAUAUUAUCCACUUUUUUACAAAAGAAAAGGACUUUGUAUAAACAGCUGAUGCCAAAAACGUUUGUCUGUUUAAAAUAUCCCCAUCAGCAGGUAUCUGACACUGUAAAAGAGAGGUCAUCACCCUUCAGGGCAGAAUCUCAGUUGCUGGGGCUGAAUCACUCCCUCUGCUCUCCAUCUCCUUAGCCUCUGAGGUUUUUAAGAAGAAAUUUUGGAUGGGGUAGAGCUUUCCAUAGCCAUUAAUUCCCAGUCAGUCUGUGGAGCUACGUUAAGCAAGGUUUCCAAUAAUAUUUCCAAUUAAUUUUUAGGUAAUAGCGGUGCACGGCAUUUUGCAAGGAACGCUGAAGGCUGGUGGAGGUCCAUUCAUCAAAACCUGAUGGGAACUGUGGCCUCUGUGGUGUACACAGAUGUUGUUCUGGUCUAGGGAAACACUGGAGAGAAUAGUUAACACAGUAAAACAAAAGACCUAGCACAGUAAAAUAUUUCUAGCCAUAAGAGGGUAAAAGCAUAUCUAUUCAGCAGAGAGAGUGGAGUAAUAACUAAAGAUAAUCUAAUUACAGUCUGAAGUAAAAAAGGACUAUUUUCCCCACAGUUUUCAGUGAGAUGGAUUACCCUCUGUUGUAGAGGGGACUCAGAAGUGAGCAGAGACUAUAACGAUCUCCAGCAAAGUCCUUCUGGCAGAACAGCCAAGAUGUGACAAGGGUGAGAUGUGAUGACAGGUUUGACACGCUGUGAUGGCACCAGAGCAGAGCCAAAGCCAUAGUGCUGACCCACUUGUGAAUGGUCCUCAGCGUGAGCAUACCAGACCACAAAAAAGAGAGCUGAUGAUGAAGGGUUUGUUUUUAUUAGAAGACAAAUUAGAACAUUCAAUUUAUAAAAUACAGAAAAUUGGAUGUUCUGGGUGAGAGACUUCAGCAUUACAGGUUUUGUAAGGAAGUUUACCUCCAUAUGCCCUCCAAUUAUGAAAGGCCAUGAAAAUUUCUCAAGAUCUUGCUCCAGCAACCUCAGCAAUGGGCCAAGGGGCAACUCCAAUGGGAGCUGGCCUCAUCAGCCUGGUGCUUUGGCGGGGUUUGGCCACAUCCCGGGGCAGGGUGGAGAAGCCAGAGCUUCCCAUGCAGGACACAGCAGAUCCCAGUUGGCUCCAAUGGCCUCAGCAGAGGGAUCUGAGCCCCUCAGACAAGCAGGGGUGUCCUGAUGAUGCCCUUACUCAUCUGUACUCAUCCUUGCAGGAUGUCCUGCAAGGAACAGGGAGUUGGACUCCAAGAUCCUUAUGGGUUCUUUUCAGCUUGAGAUAUUCUAUGAUUCUGUGACCAUAACCCCCAUUUCCACCCAGGGCAACCCUUCAGGCCUGUUUUCUCUGGCAGAGCAAUGUCUGGGACCAUCUGAGAGUUGUCUUCAGCUACAGCAAGAUGAGAGCUGUAAAGACAGUGCAGACAAAGGCUCUCAGCCCUAGCAGACAGGAUAAGAAGAGCAAUGGCCACAAAAGGCACCAUGGAAACUUCAGGCUGGACAAAAUGACAUUUUUUUUCAUUUAGAGGGUGAUGAAGUCCAGGCAUGGGUUUCCACAGAGAGGUUGUGGAUUUGCUGUUCCUGGGGAUUUUCAAAGGUCAAAGCCAUGGCUUAUCCCAGCAGGUGCUAGUACAAUGCCUGCUUUGAGUGAGUGGCUGGACCAGAGACCUUCAGAAGUCUCUUCUGACCAGCACUUAAAUAACUGUGAUUAUAACAGCUGUAAACCAAAAAUGUGGUAGACUAGUUUUGAAAAGUAAGGAAAGUAAUAUAACUCAGGAAGAAUAUUUGCAGCCACUGCAAAAGAACUCCCAUGCUUAGAAUAAGGAGUCUGAAGGUUAAAUACUCCUGAGGAAAAACAAUAAAGAUGUGGUAUAAAGAAAGUUGGUGAGAUCAUAAAGAUAGAUGACCUUGGUGGGUAACAAUUCCUUUAUUUUCAACAUUUAUUUUACUUUGCUCUGAUUUUUAGGGGAAAAAAAAUGCAUUGUACUGUCUUUUCAAGGGAAGCAUAGCAGGCAAUGUUCCUUGCAGGAAAAGCAUAGCUGGGCAACAAUUGCUGUGCUCCUGCAAUUGCUGGAGGGCUGCUGGGACUGGGAUGCCUCCCAGAGCUGCCUAAGUGCUGUGUGGCAGAACCUCUCCCCCAUGUAUUACAAGCAUUUGGGCUUGGACACAAGUGAAGGAUCCAAAACUAAGCAGAAGAUGAGAGCUGCCAUCUCACAUCCAGAUCUCUUGUUAAUCUCAACAGUUUGUCCCGCUGGUGUCCUGGGGUGAUACCGUAGUCCAGCCAAAGGACCAACGCCUUCUUCUACUCAUUAUCAUCUCUUUUUUCCAACAUUGUCUGAUACUGCCUCUCAAGUAGCAUGCUAUUCCCUCUAUCCCUUUAUCUCCAUGUUCUCCAAUCCAUCUGAUUUAUCCUCCUUACUUAUUUUCUUCUGCCCUGUGCUACAUCUGCUUGAUCUUCUGUGUCAUAGUGGAUCUCUGACUUCAAUUCCCUGCUCUUCCACCAUUGUCACUGCUUGUCUCCCACAUCUUCCUGAAGAGGGGCUGAUAUUUGAUACUUUUUACUUCCAACUGAUAGUACAUGGAAAUCUACACCCCCACAGAUUCCAUGUGGAAUGUGUGCCUAACAGGAGUAUCAUAUGAUGCAGAACAGAAACUAAACUGGAGCAGAUGUACAUUGACAUAAGGUGUGGCUUGAGGGACUACAACUGCUCACUUCUAUGAAUGGACCAUCCGCCACUCCAGGAGAUCACAAAGCUUGUUUUGGGGAACAGAGAAGCACCACAGCUGGGUGAGGGAGGAUUUUGCUUGAGAAUUUGCCUGCCUUUUUGAGCUGUUAGCCCUCUAGCUGAAAAUAAAGUCCUGAAUCCUCAA